rnacentral:lncRNA from 1 species
UAAAAUCACAUAAAACAAACCCAAAUCAUCUUAGAUCUAUACAGAACUAAGAGGUUUAGAAAAAAAUUAGGGUUUCGAAGAGAACCCAACAGAGAUAAAGGAACCUGCUUGGAAAAUCAUAGAUCGUAGCAAUAAUAGGACGAUCUCACUCGAAAUCACACCAGAAUGACCUGAAACAGACGAGAGAUGAACCCCAAAUGCAAGUCGACUAACCCUGGUCCUUUGAGGGUCCUGUAGAUGGCAAAAGUGACAUGAGAGAGGCCAUUGGAGGCCUGAGAGUUGGUGUGAGGUCAUCGGAGAUGGCCAUAGAUGAGUGACAACAUUUGGAGAUUAGGGUUAGGUUGAGAGCAUUUAAGAGCAGAGGGGUUUU